GAUGAACGCUGGCGGCGUGCCUAAUACAUGCAAGUCGAGCGAACAGACGAGGAGCUUGCUCCUCUGACGUUAUCGGCGGACGGGUGAGUAACACGUGGAUAACCUACCUAUAAGACUGGGAUAACUUCGGGAAACCGGAUCUAAUACCGGAUAAUUUAUUGAACCGCAUGGUUCAAUCGUUGAAUUCGCUUUUGCUUUCACUUAUAGAUGGAUCCGCGCCGCAUUAGGUAGUUGGUAAGGUAACGGCUUACCAAGGCAACGAUGCGUAGCCGACCUGAGAGGGUGAUCGGCCACACUGGAACUGAGACACGGUCCAGACUCCUACGGGAGGCAGCAGUAGGGAAUCUUCCGCAAUGGGCGAAAGCCUGACGGAGCAACGCCGCGUGAGUGAUGAAGGUCUUCGGAUCGUAAAACUCUGUUAUUAGGGAAGAACAAAUGUGUAAGUAACUAUGCACGUCUUGACGGUACCUAAUCAGAAAGCCACGGCUAACUACGUG
rnacentral:rRNA from 1 species